rnacentral:rRNA from 1 species
CAAGGAAUUUUCCGCAAUGGGCGAAAGCCUGACGGAGCAACGCCGCGUGGGUGAUGACGCUUUUCGGAGUGUAAAGCCCUUUUCUCAGGGAAGAACACAAUGACGGUACCUGAGGAAUAAGGACCGGCUAACUACGUGCCAGCAGCCGCGGUAAUACGUAGGGUCCAAGCGUUGUCCGGAGUUACUGGGCGUAAAGCGCGCGCAGGCGGUUCGAUAAGACUGGCGUGAAAGCCCCCGGCUCAACCGGGGAGGGUCGUUGGUGACUGUCGGACUUGAAGACAGCAGGGGCAGGUGGAAUUCCCGGUGUAGUGGUGAAAUGCGUAGAGAUCGGGAGGAACACCCGUGGCGAAGGCGGCCUGCUGGGCUGGUCUUGACGCUGAGGCGCGAAGGCGUGGGGAGCGAACGGG